rnacentral:rRNA from 1 species
UACAGGAGGUGCAAACGUUGCUCGGAAUCAUUGGGCGUAAAGCGCACGUAGGCAGUCUGUUAUGUCGGAUGUGAAAGCCCUUGGCUCAACUGAAGAAGUGCAUCCGAAACUGGCAGGCUAAAGUACGAAAGAGGAUCGCGGAAUUCCCGGUGUAGAGGUGAAAUUCGUAGAUAUCGGGAGGAACACCAAUGGCGAAGGCAGCUCGCUGGGACGUGACUGACGCUGGAGACGCGAAAGCGUGGGGGAGCAAACAGG